UUAAGUUCAGCGGGUAUUCCUACCUGAUCCGAGGUCAACCUUGGUGCCGCCGAAGCGGGCUUGUGGGGGGUUUAGAGGCAGGACGCCGAGGACUCCCGAUGCGAGGCGAAUGCUACUGCGCAAAGGAGAGGGCCCUUCGGGUCCGCCACUGGUUUUAGGGGCCUGCCGUGGCAGAUCCCCAACGCCGGGCCACAGGGGCU
rnacentral:misc_RNA from 1 species